ensembl:lncRNA
CGAUUAUUGCUCAAAUUUUCCUGCCUCCUUUGGGUCUAGCCAUUUUCUAUGAUGUACAUUGGGAUAAAAGAACCAUAGAGUCAUCACAUGAUAUUUUCACCAAGAGAAAAUUGUCUCUAUUAGUCAGAGACAGUGAGGAACUGAUCACUAUAAUCCUAGCAGGGAUUGAUUGGGUUGUGUUUAGGUUGCAGUUUUAGUAAGGGUUAGUAAGGUUUAUUUCAUCUUUGGCUCUUCAGGCAUGGCCCUCCCAGGCUUUUGAUGGGAACCUUGCUGUUGCGAUCUCAGCUCUGAAAGAGUAAACAUUUUGAAUUUCAUUCUUCAUCUCCACACCUUAUAGAAGCUAUGUAUUUGGCAAAUGUAUUGAGGAAGAGAUGAAUUGUGUGUUUUUGUUGUAGGGUACCACCUUCCCUAUGGUGGUAUUUUUUUUUUUUUUUCUGUGAAACACCAAAGAUGACCAAUUCAUUCUGAUUUUCCUAGAACUCUCCUGGAUUUAAAACUCAAAGGUCCACAUUCUGGAAAACCUGCAAGUUCCACUAGACUAAGACAAUUGGUCACACUAUAAGCACUGUAAGAGUGUGGGAGUUUUCGCCUCUCUUUCUCACCCAGCCCUCCAUUCUCCCAUAUCCUCCUAGAACUCAGCAAGUUCCCAGUGUUUGGAACUGCUCUAUUUUCCAGUUUAUUAUGCCUGCUCUUGACUACCAAAACCUGUGCCAAUUUAUCUUUCCUCCAUAAAAUCCAUCAAUUUGAUUUAAGUCCAACCUUUAGGCCAAUCUUAGGAUCUGCAAAUGCCUCCAGUUAAGAAAACUGCCAAGGACCAUUGGAUUUCCUAUAAUGGGAUUUUCCUUCUCUGCAAUUCUAAUUUAUUUAGUUCCUCAUGCUCCUACAGCUCUCCCUUGUUUUCACAAGUUGGUUUUUGUCAUUUGCCCUUUUUUCCUGGUUAUUGCAGUGGCAAUUUUUACCUGCCAUAUUCCUAUUACAGCCGACCUUGAAGCAGGAGUCCAGAGAUCAUCUCUCUUAACACAUAGAUUUGUGAGGUAAGUGCCAUUAUUAUCCCUAUUUAUAAGAGGAUGAGGGAGGUGAAAUCAGUUUCACAGGAUCACAGAGCUUUUAAGAGUCUAGCUGGAAUGCAAGACUGUCAAGUUCUAGAGCUUUUAUUCUAUACGAAAUAAAGAUAUCCUCCUAAAACCUAAAAACUGUUGUUUAAAAAAUUUAAUUGACUUGCCCAAAAGAUAGAAAGAAACAGAAUCAAGAUUAAACCCCAUAAUUUAAUCCCCUGACUCUUAGUACAGAGCUCCUUUUACAGCCAUAUAAGAGGACAUCCAACAUCACAUAUAUAUAUAAAGGAACUGAUAAUGCUCUAGAUAUACAUAUUAUACAAAUGAAAAUUUAAAUACAAUAAAAUUCAUACAUCAUUAAUUACCAUCCUGUACUUGGAGAACUUCACUCAUUUAUAUGGUGUAUACACUGUCACAUUGUAUGAAAGGGCUGAACUGCAUAAAUGGAACUUCAACAAAAAUUCCGUUAAACAUGUAUAUUUUUUAAAAAAAUCUAUAAAUAGAAUAGAGUCUUCAACUAUGCUAGCUAUGAUGCCUUUUUUUCCCCAAGUAGGAUUGCUUUUCCUAAUAAAAAAAAUCACGAGGGAGGUAGAACUCUUCUAAAGUGGUUACUGGUUACAAAGAAUUGGGAAUGGUGAUGGAGGGGAAGUGAAGGAGAGUCUUAAGUGUUCCUUAAGGGUCUUAUUUCUUUCAAGUAGGUUGGUCUGGUUCCUUCCCUGAGAGUCUCCUUCUGCCUCAAGUAAAGGAAAUAUCACUAUAGCAACUGCAGAAAUGAGUCUCUUUUUGUGGAGGUAAAGUGAGAUGAUGCCAAAACAAUAGAAUUCAAGUAGAAAUAGAAAAUAACCACCUGUCUCCAAACAUCUCCCUGGUUGGUUUGUUCCAUUCUCUGGAGUGCCCACUAUUAGGGCUCGUCCUUUGGAUGAAAGCUGUGUUGGUAAAGGUCUUAUGAAAAUGGAAAUAUUCCUAGGAUGGAAGGUAGAAGUGGGUACAUGAAUAGGAUUCCACCGGACAGCAGAGGUCAUGUUGGGGGUAUGGUUCUAGUUAAGGAGAUCCUGGUGAACCAAGGGACAGUAUGUCAACCAAAGUAAUACUGGGGCCCUAAAGAGCAAAGAUAACUGAUUCUUCCCAACUCCUUCCCUGCACCUGUUGCCCUGGUGUGAUCCCCAAAGAAAGACUCAGCCUUGGGCUGCUCCUCUUAUGACUUAUGGCACAACACAGCCUAUCUACCCACAGUUUACAGAAAUAGCUCACAUUGGUUGUUUAGAUUGAAAACAAUCAUGCACUUAGGAACCAGGGGCUCCAAGAUGAAUAAAGCCAUCUGGUUAGGGAUUUAAAUUCACACUUCAUGGUCUAUUCAUUUCUUCAACAAAUAUUUAUGGUGUACCAACUACAUGAUAGUACUGUUUCAGGAGCUGGGACUGGAGUAAUGAAAAUGUGGAAACGAAUCUGACUAGCAUCCGUGAGGAUGUGGGUUCAAUCCCUGGCCUCGCUCAGUGGGUUAAAGAUCUAGCAUUGCCAUGAGCUGUGGUAUAGGUUGCAGACACAGCUCAGAUCUCACAUUGCUAUGGCUGUGGCAUAGGCUGGCAGCUGUAGCUCCGAUUUGAUCCCUAGCCUGGGAAACUCCAUAAGCUGAGGGUGCAGCCCUCCAAAGACAAAAAAAUAAAAAAAUAAAUCAAACCUCAGCAGAGAAGUGAACAGAAACUCACAGAAUUAUGGCCACUAGCAUCCACCUAAAUCAAGGUGUUGUACAAUUCUUGUUUCUCCAAGUCAGCCCCAAAUACCUCAGGCACUGUAUUCAGGCAGCAGAAAUGUGGCUGCCUAUACCCAGGUGGGUGCCAUUCAAUCUCAAACUUGACGUGGUUCCAGUGCAGUUCUCAUUAGAAAGAGGGAAAGACAGAGAAGCAAUAUGGAUGAAGGAGCAAGCUGCAGGGGCUGGAGAGAAGAAAGGUGAGGCACGCAAUUGAGGCAGAAGACUCUGUAGUACUUGCUGAACUGUUACGGAAUUCAGAAGCCUCUGUGACCUUUGAGAAACUUCCCCAAAAUUCUAAUCUUCAGAGAUAUGCAAUAUACAAGACUUCUGUGAAGGUCAAGACACUCCCCAAGCUCAUAACAGAAGGGACCCUUUCUGCCUGCUGGUCCCUAGCCUGACACUGCGCAUGAGGAACUAACCAGCAGUCAUCAAAGAUCAAAGAUCAGCUCCAACAUGUCCUUUCUGCACGACCAGGACCGCUGGGAGGUGGUGAACUUCAUUUUCUUGUUUUUGCGGCUUCUGAGUAUGGAUCUCCAUUUGUGUCAAGCCAUGAAUGGUAAAUAUCAAGUCCUUGACUUUCUCAGACCUGUGGGACUGGUGCAGAAAAAAUAAAAGGGCUCUCAAUAGUUUUAUGCUCCUUUCUUAAGCUGACCUCUCCUCUCUGUUUAGAGUUCUAUUGCCUGGUGUACAGAGAACUAAUAAAACACGGCAGAGCACAGUACAAGGUUAAGAUGUCAUACAUCCACGUUGGGAUGUAUUAUGAAAUGGUUCCGCGAGACUUAGAAUCAGCCACAAAACCCAUACCUGAGUCUCUGGCUCUUCUUCUGUUUAAAUUACUGCCGUAGUACAUGGGAAAAUGAUGCCAUCUUCCCCAGAAAUAUAAUUUAUAUUGUAGUCUCCAGCAUCAAACUGUUUCAGUUGAAGUCCCCGCUACACAAUUUAAUGUGUGAUCUUGGAAAAAAUCACUUCACUGUAAGAAGUCUCAGUUUCUUCAUCUUUAAAAUGGAAAACAAUAACAAUGCCUAUGCCAUAGAUUUGCUUUAAGGAUUAGAUAGGAAUGAGCUUUAAAACUCUUAGCACAAUACUUAACAAAUAGUAAACAUUAAGGCACAUUUGCUGCUAUAUUUAUAUGUAUACACAUGCACACACACACAGCUAUAUCCUGCAGGGGAGAAACUCAAGAAGUUUGAUCAAGAGCUUAAGCAAUACACACAUAUGUAUGCAUGAAUAUAUGUACAUAUGUGUAUGAAUACCACCAAGCAAAGCAUGCAUGCCCUGGGGUGAGGUAAAGCACUGGCAUCUGAGCCAAGAGAUGCCAGUUGAAAUAGCAAACAAUUGUCUAGGAAUUUUUCUUCUGCUUCUCCCUAAAUCACUGUGAGUCUUUCACUUACUAGAUUAUUACAUAUUUUACCCAUUUCACACAAUUUGCCUCUACCUUGGACAUCCAUUUCUCUCUUCCAAAACAAGUCAUGCUGUCUCCUUUAAGGAGAGUACACACACUUUCCUGCUGAUCCCCCACACUCUCACCUUGCCUGGCACCCAAUCACAUACUCCUGGUAACAACCCUCCCAGAAGUCCACUGAGUUUCUGUGCCUGCCGAAUCCCCAGCAAAAUGAACCCCACUGGGCUCUCAGCUUUGCCCUAACUCUGUUCUCAUUCACUCAGGUCCACCCCUGCUUCCUCCCUUGGUGUUCUUCCCACAGCAUCCCACGCACCACCCCAUGUGCACAUCUGUCAUCAACUUCUUUGGUCUCACAAUUGUUCUGUCUUUUCUCAGUAAACUUGUGGCUCAUUAUAAAAUUAGCAUUCCCUAAACCCACAAGCAUGCAUUUCCAUGUGAACACCCACACAUCCACACAUACGCAGGACUUUGCUUUAUAUUAGAGAAAGAAAAACUAGGUACAGCAUACAUAGUAACAAGAAAAGAAUCACAAAUUACAAUUUUUUUUAUUCCAUGCUGUAGGAUCAACACAUAGGUGAAGACAAAUUGGAAAAUAGUAGCUUUAUUGUUUCCUUUGAUCACAGACCCCUUUAAGAAUAUUAUUAAAGUGAUGAGCCCUAGUCUUCAGGAAAUGCACAUAUGCAUGAGACUUUGCAUGUACUUUCAGUAAAGGAGGGUGACUUUAGGUUCCUUGUGUCUUUAAACCCCAGGUUAAAAGUCUUUGCUAUAAAAAGAUGCAUUGAGUGCUAUAGUAAGUAAAUAGAUAUAAAUAAAUAAACAGUACCAUUUAUUGAGUCCCUACUGAGUGCCAAGAACAUCACAUGCAAUGUCUCUGCUUUUCCUCAAUUCCCCCGCAAGUUAGAUAUUACUGUUACCAUUUUGCAAAUGAGAAAUAAGGGCUCAAAGAAAUUAAACGAUUUAUCUCAGAGCCAUUCAUCUGGGAAAUCUCAGAGCUGGGAUUUAGUCUAAGGCAUUACCCUCCCCUCUAGUUCACCCUGCCCUCUGGUCUUUGGACCUCAAAUAGUCUCCAGAUUGGCACUAUCAACUAUCGAAGCCUACUUUACACUGAGUGGCAUCACAGUGAGGUCCCUGAGCAUUCAGAGAACUGAUUCAAAUUACAAGCCUUGGUUUGGUGCCAGGAAGAUGACUAGAAUUAGCUGCAGAUGGUUCUGUAUUUGCUGUAGUCAUCAGCUCUGACAUGCCACUCAGAUCAUAGUUGUAUGUUGCCUCCUGAACAUUCUAGACAAUGCAAUUCCCAUGCACCAAAUCCUCCAUAUAAUUUACACAGAAACAGUCCUGCGACUUGAGUUUCCAUAGAUUUGUCUCAAGAGAGUUGGAAAGCUUUGAUGCAGCACUUAAUUUUCAAUGCCUAUUGUCUUUUAAAGAAAAAAAAAAAUCACGGACAAAUGUAGCCUGACACACCUUUGAAGCUGUCAUCAUGUCGGCAUUCUGACAUAUAAUGACCAUAGAAUUUGUCUUCUAAUUCUAACUAUUUCCACUGGAGGAAGGAAAUGUACACAGUGGGAAAAUAUGCUACCCUUUGCUUUGCUUCCUUUCCUUCUGGGGGAGAGUGUAUCUUGAAUACAAUAAGAAAAAGCACACGCAAGCUAUCAGGAUGUUCUCAGAAACAUUAUUUCGAGCUUUUAUUCUCAUAGCUGGAUUCCACUGUAAUUCUCACGUAGCAGGAGUAAACUAUUAAUAGGAUUCUAACUUUUUUCCUUUUCCCUAGAAGACCCUGGAGAAGUUCUCUUUUGCUGCUUUGUGAGUGAAGGGCAGAUUGGAUCUUGACAUGACACAUCGAUUUAGUUUCCAAAACAGUAACUUCACUAAAUAAAUCAUUUCAGCGCUUGAUUGUUAUUUAUACAUGCAAAUCUGGUUUUCAUUUGUUGGACCCGGACAGGAGGAAAGCUAAUAAUCUCAUCAAAAGCUGAAUAUUUUCCAUUUUGGCAACUGCACAAAGUUCAUAAUCACAUGACCUGAACUCUGGCAUGGGUGGGUAAAUCAAACACCUCCCCAAUAUGUC